rnacentral:lncRNA from 1 species
GCUAGGUGAAACAUUGCUCCAAAGUUCAGUGUUCAGUAAAUUCGUAGGUUAUUGACAACCUAUACUAAAACAGCUAUAACUCUUAGCUCGUUACUCCGAUUGAUGCAAAAUCAGCGCCCAAUUAAACUAGAAAUCAUACACUACAACCUUCAUUCAGUAGUCGAUCACCCAAUCAUAAUAAAACUGCUCCGAAACAGUGCUCCAAAAACAGGACAGUAACUUAUAAUCCCUGAAAUUGAAAGUUUAUACCUUCUAUUAUUGAUGUUGCAACCUCACAUCACCACCAUCCCCAACCUUUACUACAGCUACCAGACCUGUAACAACAUAAUACUCACCUCCAUUCCGACACCCUCUGCUGCCUAGCACUUUGAACACCACCAAUGGGCUCAUCAGCCCCC